GUUUUCGACUUAAACUAAGACUUCAUUUGCAUAAUUGUGUCACUGAUGGUCUAGUGACUAGGAUUUGGCGCUUUCACCGCUGCGGCCCGGGUUCAAUUCCCGGUCAGGGAAAUGAGACUUAGAGUUUGGAAUUCCAGAUCCAACUUUUAAUUCAAGCCAAACUGCAGAUGUUUUUAAAGUUUUCGACUUAAACUAAGACUUCAUUAGCAUAAUCAUGUCCCUGAUGGUCUAGUGGCUAGGAUUCGGCGCUCUCACCGCCGCGGCCCGGGUUCAAUUCCCGAUCAGGGAAUUCCAGCUCCAACUUUUAAUUCAAGCCAAACUGCAGAUGUUUUUAAAGUAUUCGACUCAAACUAUGACUUCAUUUGCAUAAUUGUGUCCCUGAUGGUCUAGUGGCUAGGAUUCGGCGCUCUCACCGCCGCGGCCCGGAUUCAAUUCCCGGUCAGGGAAAUCAGAUUUAGAGUAUUGAAUUCCAGAUCCAACUUUUAAUUCACGCUUAAACUGCAGAUGUUUUUAAAGUUUUCGACUUAAACUAAGACUUCAUUAGCAUAAUCAUGUCCCUGAUGGUCUAGUGGCCGGGAUUUGGCGCUCUCACCGCCGCGGCCCGGGUUCUAUUCCCGGUCAGGGAAAUCAGAUAUAAAGUGUUAAAUUCCUGGUCAGGGCCGUUGAAGCUCUAAAUUUUAAUUCAAGCCAAACUACAGAUGUUUUUAAAGCAUUCGACUUAAACUAUGACUCCAUUUGCAUAAUUGUGUCCCUGAUGGUCUUGUGGCUAGGAUUUGGCGCUUUCACCGCCGCGGCCCGGGUUAAAUUCCCGGCCAGGGAAACGAGAUUUAGAGUUUGGAAUUCCAGAUCCGACUUUUAAUUCAAGCCAAACAGCAGAUGCUUUUAAAGUUUUCGACUUAAAUUAAUACAUCAUUAGCAUAAUCAUGUCCCUGAUGGUCUAGUGGCUAGGAUUUGGCGUUCUCACUGCCGCGGCCCGGGUUCAAUUCCCGGUCACGGAAAUGAGAUUUAGAGUUUGGAUUUCCAGAUCCAACUUUUGAUUCAAGCGAAACUACAGAUGUUUUUAAAGUUUUCGACUUAAACUAAGACUUCAUUUGCAUAAUUGUGUCACUGAUGGUCUAGUGGCUAGGAUUCGGCGCUCUCACCGCUGCGGCCCGGGUUCAAUUCCCGGGAAGGGAAAUCAUAUAUAAAGUGUUAAAUUCCUGGUCAGGGAAUUCAAGCUUUAACUUUUAAUUCAAGCCAAACUGCAGAUGUUUUUAAAGUAUUCGACUUAAACUAAGACUUCAUUAGCAUAGUCAUGUCCCUGAUGGUCUAGUGGCUAGGAUUUGGCGCUUUCACCGCCGCGGCCCGGGUUCAAUUCCCGGUCAGGGAAAUGAGAUUUAGAAUUCCAGAUCCAACUUUUAAUUCAAGCCAAACUGCAGAUGUUUUUAAAGUUUUCGACUUAAACUAAGACUUCAUUAGCAUAGUCAUGUCCCUGAUGGUCUAGGGGCUAGGAUUUGGCGCUUUCACCGCCGCGGCCCGGGUUCAAUUCCCGGUCAGGGAAAUCAGAUAUAAAGUGUUAAAUUCCUGGUCAGGGAAUUCAAGCUCUAAAUUUUAAUUCAAGCCAAACUGCAGAUGUUUUUAAAGUUUUCGACUUAAACUAUGACUUCAUUUGCAUAAUUGUGUCCCUGAUGGUCUAGUGGCUAGGAUUUGGCGCUUUCACCGCCGCGGCCCGGGUUAAAUUCCCGGUCACGGAAAUGAGAUUUAGAGUUUGGAAUUCCAGAUCCAACUUUUGAUUCAAGCCAAACUACAGAUGUUUUUAAAGUUUUCGACUUAAACUAAGACUUCAUUUGCAUAAUUGUGUCACUGAUGGUCUAGUGGCUAGGAUUCGGCGCUCUCACCGCUGCGGCCCGGGUUCAAUUCCCGGUCAGGGAAAUCAUAUAUAAAGUGUUAAAUUCCUGGUCAGGGAAUUCAAGCUUUAACUUUUAAUUCAAGCCAAACUGCAGAUGUUUUUAAAGUUUUCGACUUAAAUUAAUACUUCAUUAGCAUAAUCAUGUCCCUGAUGGUCUAGUGGCUAGGAUUCGGCGCUCUCACCGCCGCGGCCCGGGUUAAAUUCCCGAUCACGGAAAUGAGAUUUAGAGUUUGGAAUUCCAGAUCCAACUUUUAAUUCAAGCCAAACUGCAGAUGUUUUUAAAGUAUUCGACUUAAACUAUGACUUCAUUAGCAUAAUUGUGUCCCUGAUGGUCUAGUGGCUAGGAUUCGGCGCUCUCACCGCCGCGGCCCGGGUUCAAUUCCCGGUCAGUGAAAUCAGAUAUAAAGUGUUAAAUUCCUAGUCGGGGAAUUGAAACUCUAAAUUUUAAUUCAAGCCAAACUACAGAUGUUUUUAAAGCAUUCGACAUGAACUAUGACUUCAUUUGCAUAAUUCUGUCCCUGAUGAUCUAGUGGCUAGGAUUCGGCGCUCUCACCGCCGCGGCCCGGGUUAAAUUCCCGAUCACGGAAAUGAGAUUUAGAGUUUGGAAUUCCAGAUCCAACUUUUAAUUCAAGCCAAACUGCAGAUGUUUUUAAAGUAUUCGACUUAAACUAUGACUCCAUUUGCAUAAUUGUGUCCCUGAUGGUCUAGUGGCUAGGAUUUGGCGCUUUCACCGCCGCGGCCCGGGUUCAAUUCCCGGUCAGGGAAAUGAGACUUAGAGUUUAGAAUUCCAGAUCCAACUUUUAAUUCAAGCCAAACUGCAGAUGUUUUUAAAGUUUUCGACUUAAACUAAGACUUCAUUAGCAUAAUCAUGUCCCUGAUGGUCUAGUGGCUAGGAUUUGGCGCUUUCACCGCCGCGGCCCGGGUUAAAUUCCCGGUCACGGAAAUGAGAUUUAGAGUUUGGAAUUCCAGAUCCAACUUUUGAUUCAAGCCAAACUACAGAUGUUUUUAAAGUUUUCGACUUAAACUAAGACUUCAUUUGCAUAAUUGUGUCACUGAUGGUCUAGUGGCUAGGAUUCGGCGCUCUCACCGCUGCGGCCCGGGUUCAAUUCCCGGUCAGGGAAAUCAUAUAUAAAGUGUUAAAUUCCUGGUCAGGGAAUUCAAGCUUUAACUUUUAAUUCAAGCCAAACUGCAGAUGUUUUUAAAGUUUUCGACUUAAAUUAAUACUUCAUUAGCAUAAUCAUGUCCCUGAUGGUCUAGUGGCUAGGAUUCGGCGCUCUCACCGCCGCGGCCCGGGUUCAAUUCCUGGUCAGGGAAAUCAGAUUUUAGAUUUGGAAUUCCAGAUCCAACUUUUGAUUCAAGCCAAACUACAGAUGUUUUUAAAGCUUUUUUAAUACUUUUUUUUUUCUCCAGGGGAUUUUAGGGCUUUGCGCCACAUAUUCCGACUUUUACUUAGUUUCUGACGGAGCCAAAAAAGUCCGGUUUUUUUUGCCCUCCUUAUCGUCCCGACUGGAAACUUUAACUUUUUUUUUAAGUCAGAAAAUUAAAGUCUUUUUAGAGACCGACCCUUCCUUCAAAGCGUCCCAAGUGGUCCUUCGUCAUCGGAUAUCUGUCGGGAAAUACCGCUCCAUGGAACUGUUUAUUUCAUCCAUCCGCUGCACCUGCUGUUCUGCCAUCAGUGUCCGAGAACAGUGCUUCUUAAUCGGAUAUCAGCCGGGAUCUCACGCUCUCUGGAACUGUUUAUUUCAUCCAUCCACUGCACCUGCUGUUCUGACAUCAGCAUCCGAGAAUAGUGUGCCGUUCUGGGACUUGGUCAGGGAUAUCCCGCUCUCUGGAACUAUGUUCUGUUUAUUUCCUUCAUCCACUGCACCUGCUGUUCUGACAUCAGCAUCCGAGAAUAGUGUCCCGUACUGGGACAUGGUCAGGGAUCUCCCGCUGUCUGGAACUGUGUAUUCAUCCAUCCGCUGCACCUGCUGUUCUGCCAUCAGUGUCCGUGAACAGUGCUUCUUCAUCGGAUAUCAGCCGGGAUCUCACGCUCUCUGGAACUGUUUAAUUCAUCCAUCCACUGCACCUGCUGUUCUGACAUCAGCAUCCGAGAAUAGUGUCCCGUACUGGGACAUGGUCUGGGAUCUCCCGCUCCAUGGAACUGUGUUCUGAUUAUUUCCUUCAUCCACUGCACCUGCUGUUCUGACAUCAGCAUCCGAGAAUAGUGUCCCGUACUGGGACAUGGUCUGGCAUAUCCCGCUCUCUGGAACUAUGUUCUGAUUAUUUCCUUCCUCCACUGCACCUGCUGUUCUGACAUCAGCAUCCGAGAAUAGUGUCCCGUACUGGGACAUGGUCAGGGAUCUCCCGCUGUCUGGAACUGUGUAUUCAUCCAUCCGCUGCACCUGCUGUUCUGCCAUCAGUGUCCGUGAACAGUGCUUCUUCAUCGGAUAUCAGCCGGGAUCUCACGCUCUCUGGAACUGUUUAUUUCAUCCAUCCGCUGCACCUGCUGUUCUGACAUCAGCAUCCGAGAAUAGUGUCCCGUACUGGGACAUGGUCUGGCAUAUCCCGCUCUCUGGAACUAUGUUCUGUUUAUUUCCUUCAUCCACUGCACCUGCUGUUCUGACAUCAGCAUCCGAGAAUAGUGCCCCGUACUGGGACAUGGUCUGGGAUCUCCCGCUCCAUGGAACUUCGUAUUCAUCUUUCCACUGCACCUGCUGUUCUGCCAUCAGCAUCCGAGAAUAGUGUCCCGUACUGGGACAUGGUCAGGGAUCUCCCGCUGUCUGGAACUGUGUAUUCAUCCAUCCGCUGCACCUGCUGUUCUGCCAUCAGUGUCCGGGAACAGCGCUUCAUCAUCGGAUAUCUGCCGUGAAUUACCGCUCUCUGGAACUGUGUAUUAGUCCGUCCACUGCACCUGCU
ensembl:lncRNA